rnacentral:lncRNA from 1 species
AAUUAUACCUAGGUGCCACAGAAACCUAGGAUAUUAGAGGGGAAUUAGGUUAAGUAAAAAAUUAUCUAUCUAAAUUCCUUAUUUUACACAUGAGCAAAAUGAAGUAUGGGAAAGCUAAAUACAUAUGACCUGAUACUAGAACACAGGUCUACAGGCUCUCAGUUGGGAUUCUUUGCACUAAACCAGGUAGAUUUAUGUAAUAACAGCAUUUCAUAAGCAGAUUCUAGUGUUUUAUCCCUACUUGUCACCUAGAAGCAGAAAAAAAUUGAGAAACCACUGCCAGACUUAUAAUUUGUUUUCCAUUCUCUUAACUCACAAAAUAAAGGGAAUUGAAAUCGUUAAAGUUGAUACUAAACAUAUGAAAGUUAAAGCUCAACAGUCAUAUAUAUAUAUAUGUAUAUAUAUACACUGACUCUAUGAAAAAGACAAAAAGAGUAGAAAAAUUCUCAGUUAUAACAAUAUAUUAUACUUAUAUACUGUCCACCUACUGAGUGUCUCAAGUAUUUCAUGAAUAGUGUUGCAUCUAUAAGCAAUGAUAGAAAAACAUGUUUGGAAUGAACAGUCAUGGCUAUCACAAGGACUCCCCUGGAACAGGUGAUUCAAACUUUUCCCUUGACUGGGAUCUUUUACAACCUGGUUUUUAAUAUUCUCAGCUGGGAAAUGCAUGAACACUGGAUUUCAACACCUCUCUGUUUUCACCUGAUAGCACUUUUGUUUGGUUGAGCAAUGGACAAGAACAGAUUCACCUGUGUCACAAACUUCAAAUUUUUUUUAACUACUCUGCAAAAACAGGCAUUUAAGACUGCCCUUAAAUAGACAGAAAUGCAAUAAUACUAGAGGACUUGAAUAAUCCACUUUAAGGGCACCAAGGUGGCUCAGAGUUGGUUCAGCGUCUGACUCUUUGUUUCGGCUCAGGUCAUAACCUCACAGUUCGUGGGUUCGAACACCUCAAUGAGCUCUGUGCUGACAGUGCGGAGCCUGCUCAGGAAUCUCUCCCUCUCCCUUUUUCUCUGUCCCUCUCCUGCUCUCUCUCUCUCUCUCUCUCUCUCUCUCUCAAAAUAAAUAAAUUAAUAAUAAAAAAAAAUAACGCACUUUCAACAUUGGAUCGAUUAUCCAGAUGGAAAAUCAAUAAAGAAAGGUUGAAACUAAACUACACAUUAGAUUACAUGGACCUAAUAGGCAUUUAUAGAACAUCCCAUCUAAUAGCAGCAAAAUACACAUUCUUCUCAAGCCCACAUGGAACGUUCUCCAUAUGUUAAGCUACAAACCAAGUCUUAAUAAAUUUAAGAGCAUUGAAAUCUUAUCAAUUAUCUUUUCUGACCACAGUGGUAUGAAACUGGAAAUCAGUUAAAAGAAAAAAAACUAGGAAAUUCACAAGUAUGUGGAAAUUAAACAACAUGCUCCUGAAUAACCAAUGGGUCAAAGAUAAAAAUAAAAAUUAAAAAAAUAUCUUGAGAAAAAUGAAAAUUGAAACACAACAUAUCAAAACAUCAGAUUCAGCUAAAGUGCUUGUAAGAGGGAAGUUUACAAUGAUAAAUGUCUAUAGUAAGAAAAAAGAGAAAUCACAAAUGGACAAUUUUACACAUCAAAGAAAUAGAAAAAGAAAAAACAAAUGAAGCCCAAUAUUAGUAGAAGAAUGAAAAACUACAAAGAUCAGAAAAUAAAUAAAUGAAAUAGAGACCAACAAAACAAUAGAAAAGGACAGUGAAACUAAGAGCUGGUUCUCUGAAAAGAUAAACAAGAUAGAUAAGCCUUUAGCUAGACUUACCAAGAAAAAAGAGAGAAGACUCAAGUAAAUAAAAUUAUAAGUAAAUGAGGAGGUAUUACAACUGAUACCACCAAAAUACAAAGUAUCACAAGAAACUACAAUGAACAAUUUAUGCCAAUGUAUUGGACAACCUACAAGAAAUCGAUAAAUUCCUAGACACAUACCACCUGCCACGACUGAAUUAUGAACAAAUAGAUAAAGUGAACAGACCAAUUACUAGUCAGGAGACUGAGUCAGUAAUCAAAAACGCCACAAUAAAGUCUGGGACCAGAUGGCUUCACUAGUGAAUUCUACUAACCAUUUAAAGAAUAAUUAAUACCAAUUAUUCCCAAAUUUUCCAAAUAAUUAGAAGAGAACACUUUCAAACUCAUUUAAUGAGACCAGCAUUACUCUGAUACCAAAGCCAGAGAAAGACACUACAAGAAAAUAAAAUUACAGUCCAAUAACCCUGAUAAACAUAGAUGCAAAAAUUCUCAACAUAUUACCAAGAAUUCAACAAUAUAUUUAAAAAAAUCAUACAUCAUCACCAACUAAGUUUAUUUCAGGGAUACAAGGAUGGUUCAACAUCUGCAAAUCAAUCAAUAUAAUACACCAUGUUAAUAAAUAAAGAAUAAAAAUUACAUGAUCAUCUCAAUUGGUACAGAAAAAGCAUUUGACAAAAUUUGACACCCUUUCUUAAUAAAAACUAUCAAUGAAAUGGAUAUAGAGGGAACAUAGGUCAACAUGAUAAAAGCCAUCUAUCGUAAGCCCACAGCCAUCAUACUCACUGGUGAAAAGCUGAAUACUUUCCCUCUAAGAUCAAGAACAAGACAAAGAUGCCUUAUUCUUGCAUAUUUAUUCAACAUAGCACUGGAAGUCCAGCCAGAGAAACUGUGAAAGAAAUAAAAAUGAAAGACUUCCAAAUUAGACAGGUCUCUGUUUUCAGAUGACAUGAUAUUGUAUACAGAAAACCCUAAAGAUUUCACAAAAAAAAAACCUGUUAGAAUAAAUGAAUUCAGUAAAGUUGCAGUAUACAAAAUUAAUAUACACAAAUCACUUGCAUUUCUGUACACUAACAAUGAAUUAUCAGAAAGAGAAAUUAAGAAACCAAUCCCAUUUACAGUAGCAUGCAAAAGAAUAAAAUACUUAGGAAUAAUGUCAAGUAAGUGAAAGAUUUAUACAUUGAAAAUGGUAAGACAUUGAUAAAGAAACUGAGAAGAGACAAAUAAAUGGAAAAAUAUGACAUGCGCAUGGAUUUGAAAAGUUAAUAUACUAAAAUGUCCAUGCUACCCAAAGCAAUCUACAGGUCCAAUGCAAUCUCUAUCAAAAUUCCAAUGGUAUUUUUCACGAAAAUAGAAAAAACAAUCCUAAAAUUCGUAUGGAGCCACAAAAUACUCUGAAUGGCUAAAGCAAUCCUGAGAAAGACAAGCAAAGCUGGAUGCAUCACAAUUCUUGAUUUCAAACUAUAUUACAAAUCUACAACAAUUUAAACAGUAUCGUAUUCACGUAAAAACAGACACACCGAUCAAUGAAACAAAAUAGACAGCUCAGAAAUAAGCCCAGGACCAAUUAAUUUAUGACAAAGGAGCCAAGACUAUACAAAGGAGAAAGGAUAGUCUUUUCACUAAAUGUUACUGAGAAAACUGGAUAGCCACAUGCAGAAGAAUGUAACUGGACUCUAAUUUUACACUGUACACAAAAAUCUACUCAAAAUGGGUUAAAGAUUUAAGCAUAAUUCCUGAAACUGUGAAACCAUUAGAAUAAAACAUACAGGAUAGUCUCCUUGACACUGGUCUUGGUAAUGAUUUUUUGGAUUUGAUACCAAAAGCAAAAGCAACAAAAGUAAAAAUAAACAAGUGGGACUACAUCAAAUUAAAAACCUUCUGCUCAGCAAAGGAAACUGUAAACAAAAUAAAAAAGAAACUUUUGAGAUGGGAGAAAAUAUUUCAAACCACAUUUCCAGUAAGGGAUUAAUAUCCAAAAUUUACAAGAAACUCAUACAACUCAAUAGCAAAAACAUAACCCAAUUAAAAAUGGGCAAAGAACCUCAAUAGACCUUUUUCCAAAGAGGAUAUACAAAUGGCCAACUGACACAUGAAAAGGUGCUGAACAUCACUAAUCAUUAGGAAAUGAAAAUCAAAACAACAAUAAGAUAUCACCUCACACCUGUUAGGAUGAUUAUUAUCAAAAAGACAAGAGAUAGAUAAAAAAUGCUGGCAAUGAUGUGGAGAAAAGGAAGCCCUUGUACGCUAUUGUUGGGAAUAUAAAUUGGUAGUCACCAUGGAAAAUAGUAUAGAGAUUCCUCAAGAAAUUAAAAACAGAAAUACCAUAUGACCCAGCAAUUCCACUUCUGGACAUAAAAACAGGAACAAAAUCAUUAUCUAAGACAAAAUGUACUCCCAUGUUCAUUGCAGCAUUAUUCACAACUCAAAGAAUGGAAAUAACCAUUAUUCAUUAUUCAAAGUAUGGAGAUAAGCUAAGUGUUCGUCACUGGAUAAAUGCAUCAAGAAAAUGUGGUCUAUACAUGCAAUGGAGUAUGAUUCAGCCUUUAAAAACUAUUCUUUUUAAAAUGUUUUUAUUAUUAUUUUUUUAUUUAGUUUUGAGACAGAGAGAGACAGAGCAUGACAGGGGAGGGGCAGAGAGAGAGAGAGACACACACAGAAUCAGAAGCAGGCUCCAGGCUCGGAGCUGUCAGCACAGAGCCUGACGCGGGGCUCAAACCCACGGACCACGAGAUCAUGACCUGAGCUGAAGUUGGACACUCAACCAACUGAGCCACCCAGGUGCCCCAAAACUAUUCUUAUCACUUGUGACAACAUAGAUGAAACUGAAGGGCAUUUUGCUAAAUAAGUCAGAUAGAGUAAGACAAAGACUGUGCAGUAUCACUUCUAUGUGGAAAGGAAGAAAGAAAGAAAGAAAGAAGAAAGAAAGAAAGAAAGAAAGAAAGAAAGAAAGAAAGAAAGAAAAGAAAUAAAGAACAGAGAAGGGAAGGGAAGGGAAGGGAAGAGAAGAGAAGAGAAGAGAAGAGAAGAGAAGAGAAGAGAAGUUGAACUCAUAGAAACAGUAGAAAAGUGGUUUCCAGAGGCUAAGUGAUGGAGGAAAUACAAAGAUGUAGGUAAAUGGAUAUAAAUUUUCAACUAUAAGAUAGAUAAGCUCUUAGGAUCUAACGUACAACAUGGUAACUAUAGGUGAUAACACUGUAUCAUAUAAUUGCUAAGAGAGUAGAACUUAAAUGCUCUCUCUCUCUCUCUCUCACACACACACACAUACACACACACAAAACUUAACAUGUGAGGUGAUCUAUGUGUUAAUUAACUUGGGAGGAAACCUUUCAUAAUGUAUAUGUAUAUCUAACCAUCACAUCGUACACUUUAAGUAUGUCACAAUUUUAUUUGCCAAUUUUACCUCAAUAGUUCCUGGCAGAGGGGAGUGAGAACAAAGUUUGCCCUUGCCUCAAUAUCUUCUGGAUUUUGAGCCAGAAUGAAAACAACAACAACAACAAAACACACAAAAAUACAAUGCUAGAGGUUUUAACAAAGUUUGGGCUAAAGGUUUCAGAUCCUCUGCAGGGUGAGUUACACAGCAGGAUGGGAAAAGUCCAUUACAAGGUCAUGAGCCACAUAGCUUGAAUGAAUAAUUCUUGCUUAUUCCUGGGUCCCCAGAUUUCCAUCUCACAGCCUACAUGUGUUUGUAGU